UCUCAGCAGGGCAAAGAGCAAAAGAGGAGCUCCGCGCAGAGAACAGCCCCUCCAACAUUCCCUGGAGCAGAAGUAGGGGUGAGGAGGGCAGAAGCGCCCCCGAGAGAGAAUUUCAAAGGCUUCCUGGCUGAGAUGCAGCAAGUUAUCCUGCAGGCAGAAGACCACGGGAGCUCCGAUGGCUUCCGCCAGGUCCGCUGACUUCCAGCAAGGGGUCUGUGACCUUGCAUCAUUUGGACAUGCCAUGCCCGCUUUCUACCUGACAGCCAGCAACGACACUUCCCUGAGAUUUUUACUCCUGAGCUAAGACUAGGGCAAAGAUCUCACAGAUGUGACCAGAGAACCAUUUAUAUCUCCGGCAUUCUCUCCAGAGGGUAACCAAUCUUCCUGAUCUUACUGGAGUCCUUAAAACCCCAGCUGCUCUGAGGAGACCGGGCCAAACAAGGAAGAAGAAUUGGAAGAUGCUGGAAAGCAAAGACCACGUCUGCCAAACGGUGUAGCCGGAGCUGCAAUGUGUGAAGCAUGUCAUGUGAAGCAUGUCAGAAACCAGCGCUCAGCUCUGACUCGGGUGGGCACUUGCAGACCAAGUCUGGAUCCCAGAACUUGGAUUUACUUACUACGUCUUCCUCCCCAGACUGAAGUAUGAGGAAGAUUGCCAAAGAAGAGCCUCCCCUGGGAAAACAUCCAGGCAGUGCAUUCCGGCAAACCCCAUGGACUCUCCAUUUCACAGCCAGGAAAAUAACGGAGUCUCCAAAUGAGGCAAAUUUCACACAAUGGACAUGGGGACAGAUAGAAGAGGGUCUCUGUUUCCUUUAAAAACCAAAGAACAGAGACACCUGAAAGAGACUCAUUCAUCAAAGACAAAGUCCUGUUCCCCCUGGGACUCCCACCUUCCUCUCCUGCUUUCAGGAUCGACUCUAUUUCCCUGCUCUGAAGUCUCAACUUGCCACCAGGCAAGGAGCAGUAAAUGCUGCAAAACAUUGAACAUGAAAUAGAGUCUUUUCAAUGCUGCUGUAUUUAGGACAGAGACAAAUCAGCAUUAAAAAAUGUUGUUCUUAAUUCGUGUUUUUGUAUAAAGCAUGGAUACAGGUAGAUAAUUAGACCCAAUAGUCCCUAUACUGGGACAAAAUCUGUACAUUUUCCGUGGGUAGCAAAGGGAUGGACUGGCAUAAUAUAUUCAAUUAUUGCUAUUAAAUAUAGCUUGUUUCUGGAAAAAUAAUCCCUUAAAACUUUUUGAAUAUUAGUAAAUCAUCCUCCAAAAUGGUGGUGCAGGGAGCUUAGAUGUUUACUGUUUUAGGAGUGUAGGUUAUUUUAUUUUCUAUAAAUUGUUCAACAUCACAAGCGCCCUGAGUGGGCUGCCAUGAAAGCAAGAUGGCGACCAAAACUAGAAGAGAAAUUUAUCCUGUGAGAAGCACCCUUUCCCUUGGAAGGGUUUUGGCAUCCUGGGAUGCCUGAAGGCUGUACGUUCUCAGCACAGGACAGGUUAUGUACUCAGUAAAAUCUGACUUGCUGCUUGAUUACCACCGUCUUUUCCAAUCUACAUUUAAUUUAUUUAUCAUUAUUUUUUGGAUUUAUUGAAUAACUGCCAGUCAUUGGGAUACAAUUGGGAGCAAGAUAAAUUUCUUAUCCUCGUGGAGAUAGGCUUCUGGUGGCAUAGAUGACAGUAAACAAAGACUGCCAAAUGCAGUGAAAUAAAAAAACAAAGCAGGACAAGGGGUAGAGAGUGAUGGCAGUGUUAUUUCAAGACUGAUGAUCAGGGAAGGUGUCUUUGUGGGAGGUAAUAUUGAUGCUUAGGGACCUACAUGAGGUGAUAAAGAGAGCCCUGGGGUUACCCAGAGGAAAAAUAUUCCAGGUAGAAGGAUCAGUAAACGUGUGCAAACAUCCUGAGGCAAAGCAUGUUUGAUAAAUACUCAGAGCACCAAGAAGUCUCUAGAAGAGACCGGAACAGAGGAAAGAAAGGCGAGAGUAUUAGAACAUGGUCAAGAAGGGCUGGCACGGGCCAAACCAUGCGGGUCUUAUACAAUUUUAUACCCAGUGUGAUGAGAAGUGCUGACAUGUUUACUGAGAGGCAUCUUGCCUCAAAGCUCUGAGUUUCAAUGCCCUUGGUAAUUUAAAAACAAAUAAAGAUAA